rnacentral:lncRNA from 1 species
AUCUCUUUUGUGCUCAGUUUUCUGAUAAUGUUUUCCUUGUAAUUUAUAUGAAACCAUAUUUAAUCUCUUUUCAAAGUAAUGGUAAUGCAUUAUUUGACCUUGUAAGCAAUGUUUUUUUCUACAGAGAAGUAAUGACAGAAGCAGAAUGUCUAUGCGUUUGAUUGAGGAGGCUGAGAAAUAUAUUGAGGAUUUUAUUUCAAAUGUUGAAGAUACCGAUAUUUCUUCAAUUGAUGGCGAAAGGAGCGACACAAGCUCAUCCAUUGGAGGACUAAUAAAACCUGAAGCAUUUAGUAGUCCACCAAUGCUUAGGGUUCUUCCUGUUAUAACUGACGGGGUUGCAUUAAAAUAUAUUAUGUUUACUUGCUAAUGCUCUUCUGCAAGUAGGGUAUGUUGGUUCUACUUUUAAACCCUGUCAGUGAAAUAAGUGUUGUCGAUGGUGGAUGACGGCCGAUCACGUUUGCCAAAGUUCUGGCAUCAUGGUGUUGUCGGCAAAUUAGCAUACGUUAUUAUAGUGGUUGACAAAAAAUAAUUAAAAAAAUAGAGUACAUAUAAAAUAAUUAAUAAUAGCAUACAACACAUCACUACUAAUUAAAAACAAUAUAAACUAAAUUAUUGAUUGAGCAUUUAAAAGUAAAAAAAUUCAUUAAUAACCAAUAAUCUAAAAUAUUUACAUUAAAGUAUGUGAACAAUAUUUACAUUAUCUCGUGAGCCUAUAGGGUGGAACACUUUCACAGUGAUUCCAUGUAAUAUCAGCCUCUUUUUUCCUUGACCCAUUGUAACCCACUUAAAAAAUGAAACAGUUGAAGCUUAAUAAAAAAUUAAAAGAGAGGAGGGGAAGAGUGAAUAAAAAAAAUCAGCUUGGGAGUUGAGAGAAGAAAGCACUGCAACAGUGAUACUGAUAUUGGGGAAGGGAAUACAGUAGAGAAGGCACCAAAGCUUACUACAAUAAUAGGUUCAGAAAGUUUAGUAUUCAACAAAGAGAAUAAGUUAAGGGUAUUUUGACACUUCACCUCCCUUUCCCACUUAAGAAAUGUGUUUAAAAUGCCAAAGUUCUGUGAUUCAUUUUAAGUAUGCUAUCAAGAGUCAUGCUUCUGUAAAUUCUAAAAUUUUACUUAAUCCCAAUGCUUUCUAGCAAUUGUUUGACAAAAAAGAAUUAUUAUUUUAAUUUUCUUUUGGUUUUGAAUUGACAGUCGGAGAAGCGAAAACAAGAUUUACUAGCUGAAGUAGUGUUUGAGGAGCAACGAGGCAGAGAACUUUCCAAGAUUGUUAAUGACUUGAUUCCUGCUACAAAGAAUGAUCCUAUACAAAAGCCAUCACGAAGCAGGAAGGUGCACAUCUCUUUUGUGCUCAGUUUUCUGAUAAUGUUUUCCUUGUAAUUUAUAUGAAACCAUAUUUAAUCUCUUUUCAAAGUAAUGGUAAUGCAUUAUUUGACCUUGUAAGCAAUGUUUUUUUCUACAGAGAAGUAAUGACAGAAGCAGAAUGUCUAUGCGUUUGAUUGAGGAGGCUGAGAAAUAUAUUGAGGAUUUUAUUUCAAAUGUUGAAGAUACCGAUAUUUCUUCAAUUGAUGGCGAAAGGAGCGACACAAGCUCAUCCAUUGGAGGACUAAUAAAACCUGAAGCAUUUAGUAGUCCACCAAUGCUUAGGGUUCUUCCUGUUAUAACUGACGGGGUUGCAUUGCCAUGGUUGC